rnacentral:rRNA from 1 species
GAUGAACGCUGGCGGCGUGCCUAAUACAUGCAAGUCGAGCGAACAGACGAGGAGCUUGCUCCUCUGACGUUAGCGGCGGACGGGUGAGUAACACGUGGAUAACCUACCUAUAAGACUGGGAUAACUUCGGGAAACCGGAGCUAAUACCGGAUAAUAUAUUGAACCGCAUGGUUCAAUAGUGAAAGACGGUUUUGCUGUCACUUAUAGAUGGAUCCGCGCCGCAUUAGCUAGUUGUUAAGGUAACGGCUUACCAAGGCAAGGAUGCGUAGCCGACCUGAGCGGGGGAUCGGCCACAUGGGAACUGAGACGCGGUCCAGACUCCUACGGGAGGCAGCAGUAGGGAAUCUUCGGCAAUGGGCGAAAGCUUGACGGAGAAACGCCGCGUGAGUGAUGAAGGUCUUCUGAUCGUAAAACUCUGUUAUUAGGGAAGAACAAAUGUGUAAGUAACUAUGCACGUCUUGACGGUACCUAAUCAGAAAGCCACGGCUAACUACGUG